UACAGAGGUCCCAAGCGUUGUUCGGAUUCACUGGGCGUAAAGGGUGCGUAGGUGGCCGGUUAAGUCUGACGUGAGAUCUCCGAGCCUAACUCGGAAACUGCAUCGGAAACUAUCCGGCUCGAGGGUUGGAGGGGGGACUGGAAUACUUGGUGUAGCAGUGAAAUGCGUAGAUAUCAAGUGGAACACCAGUGGCGAAGGCGAGUCCCUGGACAACUCCUGACACUGAGGCACGAAAGCUAGGGGAGCAAACAGG
rnacentral:rRNA from 1 species